UACGGAGGUCUCAAGCGUUGUUCGGAUUCAUUGGGCGUAAAGGGUGCGUAGGCGGCGCGGUAAGUCGGGUGUGAAAUCUUGGAGCUUAACUCCGAAACUGCAUUCGAUACUGCCGUGCUUGAGGACUGGAGAGGAGAAUGGAAUUCCCGGUGUAGCGGUGAAAUGCGCAGAUAUCGGGAGGAACACCGGUGGCGAAGGCGGUUCUCUGGGCCUGACCUGACGCUGAGGAGCGAAAGCGUGGGGAGCGAACAGG
rnacentral:rRNA from 1 species